UGGGGAAUAUUGCACAAUGGGCGCAAGCCUGAUGCAGCCAUGCCGCGUGUGUGAAGAAGGCCUUCGGGUUGUAAAGCACUUUCAGCGAGGAGGAAGGUGGUGAGCUUAAUACGCUCAUCAAUUGACGUUACUCGCAGAAGAAGCACCGGCUAACUCCGUGCCAGCAGCCGCGGUAAUACGGAGGGUGCAAGCGUUAAUCGGAAUUACUGGGCGUAAAGCGCACGCAGGCGGUUUGUUAAGUCAGAUGUGAAAUCCCCGGGCUCAACCUGGGAACUGCAUUUGAAACUGGCAAGCUAGAGUCUCGUAGAGGGGGGUAGAAUUCCAGGUGUAGCGGUGAAAUGCGUAGAGAUCUGGAGGAAUACCGGUGGCGAAGGCGGCCCCCCUGGACGAAGACUGACGCUCAGGUGCGAAAGCGUGGGGCAGCAAACAGGAUUAGAUACCCUGGUAGUCCACGCUGUAAAACGAUGUCGAUUUUGGAGGUUGUGCCCCUUGAGGCGUGGCUUCCGGAGCUAACGCGUUAAAUCGACCGCCUGGGGAGUACGGCCGCAAGGUUAAAACUCAAAGGAAUUGACGGGGUCUAGCUG
rnacentral:rRNA from 1 species